rnacentral:rRNA from 1 species
CAGUCGCCGCGGUAAUACGAGGGGAGCGAGCGUUGUUCGGAAUCACUGGGCGUAAAGCGUGCGUAGGCGGUUUUGUAAGUAAGAAGUGAAAGCCUGGGGCUUAACCCCAGAAUUGCUUUCUAGACUGCAAGACUAGAAUUCUGGAGAGGUUAGUGGAAUUCCGAGUGUAGAGGUGAAAUUCGCAGAUAUUCGGAGGAACACCAGUGGCGAAGGCGACUAACUGGACAGACACUGACACUGAGAGACGAAAGCUAGGGGAGCAAAUGGGAUUAGAUACCCCAGUAGUCCCUGUCUCUUAUAC